rnacentral:rRNA from 1 species
AACGAACGCUGGCGGCAUGCCUAACACAUGCAAGUCGAACGAAGUCUUCGGACUUAGUGGCGCACGGGUGAGUAACGCGUGGGAACCUGCCCUUCGGUACGGAAUAACGUCGGGAAACUGACGCUAAUACCGUAUAUGUCUCUGGAUGAAAGAUUUAUCGCCAGAGGAGGGGCCCGCGUCUGAUUAGCUAGUUGGUGAGGUAAUGGCUCACCAAGGCGACGAUCAGUAGCUGGUCUGAGAGGAUGAUCAGCCACACUGGGACUGAGACACGACCCCAGACUCCUACGGGAGGCAGCAGUGGGGAAUAUUGGACAAUGGGGCAACCCUGAUCCAGCAAUGCCGCGUGAGUGAUGAAGGCCUCGGGUUGUAAGCUACUUUUGGCAUGGGACGAUGAUGACGGUACC